rnacentral:rRNA from 1 species
UACGUAGGGUGCGAGCGUUGUCCGGAAUUAUUGGGCGUAAAGAGCUUGUAGGCGGUCUGUCGCGUCUGCUGUGAAAAUCCGGGGCUCAACCCCGGACUUGCAGUGGGUACGGGCAGACUAGAGUGCGGUAGGGGUGACUGGAAUUCCUGGUGUAGCGGUGAAAUGCGCAGAUAUCAGGAGGAACACCGGUGGCGAAGGCGGGUCUCUGGGCCGUAACUGACGCUGAGGAGCGAAAGCGUGGGGAGCGAACAGG